rnacentral:lncRNA from 1 species
UGAAAAAGCUUCGAAGGCAAAGAAGUUGGAUGAUACAUCCACACCGAAUCAGAUAGCAGCUGCAUCCAAUAUUGCUCCCAGUGUCUAGAACUUGCAUCCAAUGCUAUCCAAAAUUUCAUUAUCAGUUGUUUUAUCUCAUAGAGUCCACUGGAUUUUUUUUCAAUGAAUACCCAGUGUCUAGAACCUGGAGCCGCCACUGCUUAGGCUGGUGCAGCAAGCGCGGUGAAGCAUCCUGGAGCACCUGCCCACGGCGGAAGAAGAUGCCAAGUGCGCUUCUGGCACAAUCACCGCGGAUGUCUGAAGCUCUCGGCCAUCUCAUCAAGUCAGGGCUCCAUCCAGGCUGGGCGCACUCCUGAUUUGAGUUUCUCCUUUAUAUCUUCUUCCCUUAUUGGAGGUGGUACGGCCAGUUUUCUCUGCCAGAUGCCGUGAUAACUGAAAACGCCAAGAUUUUCGCCAGACGCCGAAUCUAUCUCUCAACUGAACUAACUCGAGGCUAGGUGCCAUCGAUCGUUUCGUCCUUUUUGAGGUUCAUGAUGGCAGGCAGGCUGCCACAUUUCAUGCUGACACAUACAAUUACAAACGCUCGGAAGAGCUCCGGUCCGUGCUUAUAUUCCUCCUUCACGGGUGCCCUUUUUUUGGCCUUGGAACAUGUCUCGGCCAGUUGCCACAAUCGGUAGACCACCACCACCUCUGACAGAUUCACUUGUCGUGAGUGUGAACCGUAUCAUCAUGUCCCUGGCUAGAGCUCUCUGACACCGGAUAUCCUCAACAAUCAACAGUCCCAUUUUGCAUUCUCUUUG